GCAGGUACAGGCAUUUGGUGUACGUGGUUGGCUGAGGAGCCAAAGGGGCAAAGCUACCAUCUGUGGAAUUA
rnacentral:rRNA from 1 species